GGAUGUGAGGGCAAUCUGGCUGCGACAUCCAUCACCCCACUGAUCGCCAAAGUUGAUUCAGCUGAUCUGGCUGGCUAGGUGGGUGUCCCCUUCCCUCCCUCACUGCUCCAUGUGCAUCCCUCCCAAACCUGCAUGCUUGGUCGAAGAGGACCAACCACCUCUGACAGAGGAGGACUGUUUCCUUGGUCAAGGGUAUACAAGUAGCUGUGCUGCCCUGCUAGAACCUCCAAACAAGCUCUCAUGAAAUAAAGGUAAUUAAAAUACUGCUCAAAGAACAGGAGAAUCACUUAUGAGUCUUACUUCCUGU
rnacentral:snRNA from 1 species